ensembl:lncRNA
CUAUUUUAAUUGUUUUUGUAUAUCUUUAUAUAUCUUUGUGUAUAUUUAUGUCCCCAUUUGAAAGCUACAGGAAGUACUCUACGUGUGUUUUCUCUGCGACAGUUGUCUGCAGGCAUGCCGAAAUGCCUUGGAGGUGGCACUGAGGACCCUUAGAGCUCAGGAAGAUGAGAAGGAGGCCAAGCAGUCACGGUUAAAGUGUAUCGGUGGCUUCAUGAGAUAUAAACCCGCUUCAGACUGAAUCUGUGUCCUUCAAAUGAGACCCAGCUGAAAUCUGUUUCACAUUAGCUAGCUGCUCCAGGACUGAUAUCUGUAGCAGAAGCGACAGCUCAGGCAGAGAUGGUCACCCCUUUCCCAGCAGCCCCUGCUUCUGCUCUCAUCAACUCCACUGCCCACUGCUGACAAAAUGGGCUUAUUUGACUCCUCACCCCAUGGCACAGAUGAAUAAUUCACCUCGCCACUGCACUGCUGGGGAGGCGCAGGCAGGUUUGCAUUUGACAGAGCGUGGACAGUGGAUUAUGGGAUUCUGCAGAGGUGCUUCACUCCCAGCCUGUCCAAGAGAAAGGACUUCAAACUGCAGCUGGGCCCGCUGA